CGGUUCACUAAGGUAGGAGGGGUAACAGCCCUACAGGGGAUCGUCCCACGGGUUUGGGACGGGUCCAGCUCCACGGGAGGCAGCAGUGGCCAUUUUCUCCAGGGACAAAAUUUGGAGUACUACCCAGGGGGAUAAUCAAGGUCUCCCAUCCUAAAAUUUGUUGUAGUGUAGACAAGUACAGUCGUAUAGGGGGUGCCUAGACGGUACCCAGCAGAAAGCACGGGUAAUAUGUGCCAGCAGCCGCGGUAAAACGAAGGGGCAAACGUUUUCUGGAAUUUUGGGCGUAAAAGGGCGCAGGCGUUUCUUUAAUCUGAUGGGAAAGCCCCGGGUCAACCGGGAGAGUCAUUGAAACUGGGGAAUUUGAGUGCAGAAGAGGAGAGUGGAAUUUCACGUGUAGCGGUGAAAUGUGUAGAGAUGUGGAGGAACACCACUGGCGAAGGCGACUCUCUGGUCUGUAACUGACGCUGAGGCGCGAAAGCGUGGGGAGCGAACAGGGUUAGAUACCCUGGUAGUUCACGCCGUAAACGAUGAGUGCUAAGUGUUAGAGGGUUUCCGCCCUUUAGUACUGCAGCAAACGCAUUAAGCAUUCCCCCUGGGGAGUACGGUCGCAAGACUGAAAUUCAAAGGAAUUGACGGGGGCCCGCCCAAGCGGUGGAGCAUGUGGUUUAAUUGGAAGCAACGCGAAGACCCUUACCAGGUCUUGACAUCCUGUGACAACCCUAGAGAUAGGGCUUCCCCUUCGGGGGCAGAGUGCCAGGUGGUGCAUGGUGGUCGUCAGCUCGUGUCGUGAGAUGUUGGGUUAAGUCCCGCAACGAGCGCAACCCUUGAUCUUAGUUGCCACCAUUCAGUUGGGCACUUUAAGGUGACUGCCGGUGACAAACCGGAGGAAGGGGGGGAAGACGUCAAAUUCUCCUGCCCCUUAUGACGUGGGGUACCCCACUGGUACAAUGGGCGGAACAAAGGGCAGGGAAGCCGCGAGGGUAAACCAAUCCCACAAAUGUGGUCUCAGUUCGGAUUGCAGUCUGCAACUCGAGUGCAUGAAGCUGGAAUCGCUAGUAAUCGCGGAUCAGCAUGCCGCGGUGAAUACGUUCCCGUGCCUUGUACACACCGCCGGUCACACCAUGAAAG
rnacentral:rRNA from 1 species